rnacentral:lncRNA from 1 species
UUCUUCUCUAUUUUGCUCUUCACAUAUGGAGCUCGCUCUCUCUUCUCCCUUUCCAUUGUCAUGGUGAAGCUCAAGAGGAUCUCGGAGAGCUAGGACCUCCCUUAAGAUGUCCAAGAUUGAGGUCCUCACCCAGGCUUUUUGCAUGCUUUGCUCUUCGUCUUCAGAGCUCAUUCUCUCUUCCUCCUUUUCACUACCACGGUGGAGCUCAAAAUGCUCUCAGAGAAUCGAACCUCAUUCAGGUUGAGCAUAUCGAUACCCACUUACACAUCCACAGCCUUGGACUUAAC